rnacentral:rRNA from 1 species
AGCGGGUGAUAGCCCCGUACACGAAAUCAGACCGGUGGUACUAAGCGUACGACAAGUAGGGCGGGACACGAGAAAUCCUGUCUGAAUAUGGGGGGACCAUCCUCCAAGGCUAAAUACUCGUAAUCGACCGAUAGUGAACCAGUACCGUGAGGGAAAGGCGAAAAGAACCCCGGGAGGGGAGUGAAAUAGAUCCUGAAACCGUGUGCAUACAAACAGUAGGAGCCUCGUAAGGGGUGACUGCGUACCUUUUGUAUAAUGGGUCAGCGACUUACAUUCAGUGGCAAGGUUAACCGAAUAGGGAAGCCGUAGAGAAAUCGAGUCCGAACAGGGCGAUAGUCGCUGGGUGUAGACCCGAAACCAAGUGAUCUACUCAUGGCCAGGAUGAAGGUGCGGUAACACGCACUGGAGGUCCGAACCCACUAAUGUUGAAAAAUUAGGGGAUGAGCUGUGGGUAGGGGUGAAAGGCUAAACAAACUUGGAAAUAGCUGGUUCUCUCCGAAAACUAUUUAGGUAGUGCCUCAAGUAUCACCACCGGGGGUAGAGCACUGUUAUGGCUAGGGGGUCAUCGCGACUUACCAAACCAUUGCAAACUCCGAAUACCGGUAAGUGCGAGCUUGGGAGACAGACGUCGGGUGCUAACGUCCGGCGUCAAGAGGGAAACAACCCAGACCGCCAGCUAAGGUCCCAAAGAUUGGCUAAGUGGAAAACGAAGUGGGAAGGCUAAAACAGUCAGGAUGUUGGCUUAGAAGCAGCCAUCAUUUAAAGAAAGCGUAAUAGCUCACUGAUCGAGUCGUCCUGCGCGGAAGAUGUAACGGGGCUAAGCCAGUCACCGAAGCUGCGGAUAU